GGGAGCUGCACCAUCCACGGAGCGCCAGUUCGCAUUGAGGCUGCGGCCAGUGUGGUUGCCGUGGUGUACGUGCUUGUUUUGUGCUCGUGGUAACCAUGUUCUCACGCUGAGUCAUGUGUGCGAGUGGUAACAGAGAAGUGACAAACCACGUAUGUUAUGUGACACGCUUCAGUCAGCAGCUGUCGCCUCGAUAUAUCGAACGCCGAUUGUAAAGAAAACAUUCAGGACUGAUUCAUGGCGCUGUUUUAUUACACUCUGUGUGGUGAAGUUAUUUUAAAUUAAUCCUUGGCGAUAUCAUGCGAUACUGGCUUUUACGGUCAUAUGAGUUACAUAUCCUAAUACAGUUUAACAAAAUACUUGUCUAAUUAAUAACGACAUGUACAUUAAUUUUCAUGCUUUUGAGUCGUUAUAAAUUCUUGUGAAUACGCAACGGGUAUGCCUUGUUUCUGUACUCGUUCAUUUCUGGUGUUGGGAGAUGGCGGAUUCUUGGUAAUUGUGGUGAAUUAAAAUAUUGAAGAUAACUGAAGGUAAGCCGGUUUUGGAGAAAAUUGUCAAUUCCAUAAGUUCGCAGGGCGUGUUACAAGAUAUUUACGUUGACCAGAAAGUGGAAGUAAUAAUUAUUAAAUUAGAGGCAACACUCGAAUAUUUUUAGAUUGAAGACAUUUUACUGAUCCGUAGGUUUACAAGCUAACUAGAAUGCGUGUGCAUUAAUCAUGAUGUCAGGUUACUGCAACAGAAGUUAUAAAACUGUGACCAUUUAAUAGACUAUAAAUUCUAUGUAGUAUUUGCACCAGAACUUUCUUACGUGCUUCGGCGGAUAGGUUCACACGUGUGAGCAUACAUACGUCCCCAAGCACCGUCUGAGACUGAAAACGACACGGUUUCGGAAGAAAAUUGUCAAUUUGUAUUUUGUUUUUGAAAAUUCGAAACUUAAACCAUGCUUCUAAUUAGUUCUUGAAAUCCAUUAAGCGAGAGAGAAUAAGAAAUCAGAAAUCUGAUUUUUAAAUAUUACAUAAUUAUUCGAUUAAUUCGGGGUUUUUUUUUUUUAAAUGUUGCAAGUCAUUAGACGAAAAGAAACUGCGGGUGUGGUUACAGGAAAGGAGUAGGGUGAGAAUUCUACCCCACACCGAACUUCAUACACGUUUUCUUAUUGUCAUAUUUUCUUCUUCUCUUCUGUAUUGCAACAGGUAAAAUACCAUAGACUUUGCCAUACUUUUACCAAAAAGGGGAGGGGGCUUCCAAAAAUGUUAGGCACAUAAGCUUCUUGUUCUUAAAUAAUUAUAAGUUCGUGUGAAUAUGUAUCGGACAUUCAGCAUCUGUUUGUAUCAGAACAAGUUAGUUAGACUAGUACUGCUUAUAUUAACUUUACCCAUGAUAAAGAUGUAUUUGUAACGUCUACAGAAAAUGUGUCCAGUUUCUUUUCCAUGGUUAAUAAUUGUAUUAACGACAUAUUACUUGCUUAAUUAGGAAGACGUUUAACUGUAAUAGGACAGAUGUGAAAUAACAUUUUUUCUUUCAACAAGAAAAACAAACUUAAACUAAUUUUUAAAAAUUACGCGUGUUUUCCUGUCGCGUGGGAUUUAAAAUGUUACUGUUUUGCCUGUGUUUUUCGCUUGAGCAACGUGUGUUUAUUUUAUUACGUUGCAAGGGGAAUAACCUGAACGUCAGAAACGUCAAAACAUUAUUUCGUUUUUGAUUGCUGUCUACAACAACGUGAAAUUGAAAUAAAAAAAAACACGAGCGAGCUGAAUGAACCAAAAAAGAGAAAAAAAAACGAAAUGGCAUUUUAAAUUAACGUGAAUAGGUCUACAUAUCUCAACGGGCCAGUGAAAAACAUUUCGUCUCACAUGACUGAAGACCUGUAUGUAUAUUUUUAUGCACCAUUUAAGUUUCGAGAUCUAUUCUAGUCGAUGAUGACAUGUCCAUCGAGAGAUAACAGUGCUUCUCGUUAAAUUACAACAAAACAGACUGGUGGUGAAAUGUUUAUGUAAUGAACAGCAAUAAACAUUAACAUUUAAACAUGUCUCAUCACCGUUUAACCUGGUUUCUUCAUCAGCCAAGAUGUUCAGGUCUAUGUUUGUUCGUCACAGUAUAUCUAAGUUUGUUUGUGAUUGCUGGGGUGCUACUGUUUGGAUCCCUGUCUCAAAUUCGUAACAAUAAUGCCCCCUCAGGAAGCAAGAAGAGAGCGUAUGUGAGUGACGAAGACGGUGAGAGGUCAGCUUCGUAUGGAGCCAGGUACUACAACAGUCGUUCACGUGACGAUGACUACGACUGGAAGAAUUUGUUGUACUCCAACAGAAGCCAGUAUCAUUACGAGAAAUAUCACGAAGAAGGUGCUGAGGAAGUGGAUAUCCAUGAUAAGUUAACAGCCACAUGGACAGGACAGGGUCUCCGCUGGCCUUACAGCAAUCCAGCACUCAUCAAUUGCUCAUCUCUGCAGGAUGUGACUGAUUUGGAUUUUGUCGCUUCCGGUUGGACAAAGGCAGUAUAUAAGGGAAGGUACCAGGGUCGAGAUGUUGCAGUGAAGACAGUGAACCUCAACGGUCAUGAUAUCCUCAAGUGUCAAGAAAAGCACAAACCCAUGAGCCCAGCUGCGUCACUUCCGCUCUGCUACAGGAGAGCCGCUGCUAAAAUACUGAGAGAGAUUAUCUUACUGACAGAGCUCGCCCACGACAACAUUGUCAAGGUGUUGGGGUUCUGUGUUCCUGAUGCAGUAGGUCCAGUCUCCAUGGUAACAGAACUUGGAGAUCCUCUUGACACUUUGCGUUUGCUUCAGUUCUCAUGGGAGGACAGACUGAGGCUUGCACUAGGAAUUGCCCAGAUUCUUCAUCAGUUGGCUCAUUCUCCACUUGGAUCGCUCUCCAUGAAUGAUUUCCGUCGCCAACAAUUUGUCCUUGUUGGUGGGACUUUGAAAUUAUCGGAUGUUGAUGACUUGGGAAUUAAUGAACCAGAAUGUGUGACAGAUUCAGACUGUGUUAUUGGCAAUGAUGAAAACAACAAUGUAAGCGAUGAUAAUACCACAAAAGGGUUGUCAUGUAUCGAUUCGCGGUGCAUUGGCCAUAAUGAACGCCUCAACAUCUGGCACGCAGGCCAACACUUCAUCCGACUCUUCCUUCCUCUGAGUGCACCAUUGUCACUUGAGCCCCACAUCCAUGAACUUCUGGCAGCAUAUGCCCAUCCUGCUGCAGGUGGCUGGAACUCAGCCCGCAUUCUAGGCACAACCCAAAAACUAGUGGCUCACUUUGUAUCUGGAGAUUACAUGAUUCGACCCAGCACUCAGGGUAGCAGCACUAGUGGAUAUGAGCGGAUGAGUGACAGUGAUUUACCUGGGCUGUAUGACUAUCGAUGUCCACUGUCUGUGUCUGCUGUUGGUUGUGUCAUCUCUGUUUUCAACGAGGAGGAGGCUGUUCAGAUCUGUACCAGUGACGAUGAUUGUCAAGCAAUAGUGUUAGGGCAAGAGCAUACUUGGACAGGACGCACUCUGGCAGUCUUCAAAAAUGGUUACAGUACACCAUCCUUCAAGAAAGGUUACAGCUUGCUAGUGAAAAAGAAACUAAAAUAGCCCCAGGGAAGAAAGAGAUAAUGUGAUUAAACUUGAAGACUGAUGAAACCACUAGUACAAGUAAGAGAGAGGAGCCUGUGUGGUCUUACUGAUGGCUACUAGUGUUUCAGAGUAACCUGUUCUCCACCUCACAGGUAAAAACUAGCAGAGGUGGGAUGUGGCUGGACACCAAAAUUCUCGUUCAUCUGGCCAGUGAGAUUCAGGUUAUCCAUUCCAUUUGGACAAAAAGUCAUUGCAAGGCAGACUGGUGAUUAUUUGUAAAUUUGUUUCAAGCUCUAGCAAGUUCCCUAGCCAUAGUUACAAAAAAAAUUGUAACUUGGUGAUAGGGAUCAUUCUUCAUUAGGCUGUCAUACUUUUGUCAUUCAUAACUCAGCAGCAUUUUGUAAGUCCCUUGUCAUACAGCCCUUUAAGGUGUCUACAUUCAUCUCUCUACGUUACUCUAAAUUAACCAGUUAAAUGUGUAUAUGAGCUGAAAUAUUACAACUAAGUUAUUUUCACCUUAAUGGAAAUACUCGUUCACAUUCAGAUCAAUUAAAUUUAUUGAUGUGGAUUAAGAAGCUGACCAUGCACUGACAUCAUAAAAAUAAUAAUUUGACUUAUCGACAUUCACUGGAGGGGGCCAGUGGUAGUGUAAUUGAUUGAAGCACUAUGCUACAAGUUGGAAGAUCGUGGUUCAAUUCCCAAUGAGGUAAUUGCAUUUUUUAAUUGACCUAAUCCUUCCAGCCCAGCACAGGAUAGGGACCAGUGGUGGGCUGUUGUGAACAUGAUAAUUAACUUUUGGGUUCCUUAAAAGAAAUGGAAUUUCUUGACUAGUUGAGUGACUAUUCACUUCUCAAGAACUAUGUUCCACAGACUUAAUUAGUUUGUGUCAACUGUGAAGGUUAUGUAACACGAGUUCAACCUCUGUUGUUGAAAUAUGUCAUCCCUGUUCAUGUGCCCAGGAUCUUGUUUUUGUCACUAAAAUAAUGGAAAAAUUAAUAUAUUAUUUUAUUAGAAGUUCUAAUCAAGGUUUUUCAAGAAGGUUGAGUAAUGUAUUGAAUUUUGGUACAUAGCAAGGAGCUCUUUGCUCUGUUGAACCCUUAAAAAUAUUCUUACUAUUUUUCUUUAAUUACAGUCUCUGAAUGUCAGGUCUGGAAACUUUUGCAGCAACUAAUAGAUUAUAAUAUAUUUGUAAUGAAGCUGCACUGAUCAAAGAAUAUUUAAAAUUGAUAAUAUUGAUGAUGAGGAGUAAUGGAGAUACUGUAAAAAAAUGCAGGCAAAAGCUGAGAAAUAUAAGAAAACCUCUAAUCAGGUUUAUUUACAAGUUUCACAUGAACUGGUUAGACUUAAAUCUAUAUUUGUUUGGUGGGAGGUCAUUGAUCUCAUGUCCUGUGAUGACUCUGUAGUUAAUUUACUAUUCGUAAGGUUUGAUAUGGUAAAGUCAGCAUUAUCAGUUGACUUAAUCUUUUUAUAGCUGAAGAUUUAUCUUUUUCUUAAUGCAAAUAUUAAUGCUAGUCAUUCAGUCAUAGUGAAACAAAUGGAAAUUUGUUUAAAAACAAUAUUAUGUGAUAUGAAAUAUAUGUAUUAUUUGUACUGGUUAACAAAAUUGUGUAUAUAAAUGCUUUUCCCACGUACUUAAUGUUGCAUCAUUCAGCGUGUUGUUUCAACUGUGAACUGCACACACACACACACACACACACACUAAAAGAAUUUUAAUAUUGAAACAUUUCCAGCUUAAAACUUGCCCAUUGUGUUUUAUAGGUCUCUAGCUCUUUAUGUUAUUCUCUGAUUAUCAUGAUUGUAAAGAUGGAUGUAACCAAAUCAGUGUUUCAUUAGAGUCUAUGUGAAUAUUUUGUAUUCAACCAGGAUAAGUUUUUGCUAGUGUAAUUCCCAUUAAUGAUUCAACAUGAAAACUUUCUAUAUAAGUUACAUAAACUCUCAAGGUUCUAUGUCCUUUCCUUCCUUCUCUGAUGUUCCUGUCUAGUCUCUUCUAUUUGUACAUCCCAUUGCCAUUUCUCUCCCCCUACCACCCUUCUUCUCCUUUGUGUUAAAACAGAUUAGGUAAAUGCCAUUCAAAACAUGCCUUGAUGCAUUGCUCACUUUGAUUCAGUGUAUUUUUUAUACAAAUUGAAAUAUAGUACAUGUGUUUGAUCA